rnacentral:rRNA from 1 species
AACGAACGCUGGCGGCAUGCCUAACACAUGCAAGUCGAACGAGACCUUAGGGCUUAGUGGCGCACGGGUGCGUAACGCGUUGGAACCUGCCCUUAGGUUCGGCAUAACUACCCGAAAGGGGUCCUAAUAACGGAUAAUGUCUUCGGACCAACGAUUUAUCGCCUUGGGAUGGGCCCGCGUUGGACUCGCUAGUUGGUAGGGUAAAAGCCUACCAAGGCGACGAUCCAUAGCUGGUCUGAGAGGAUGAUCAGCCACACUGGGACUGGGACACGGCCCAGACUCCGACGGGAGGCAGCAGUGGGGAAGAUUGGACAAUGGGCGAAAGCCUGAGCCAGCAAGGCCGCGUGAGUGAUGAAGGCGGUAGGGUGGUAAAGCUCUUUUACCCGGGAUGGUAAUGACGGUACCGGGAGAAUAAGCUCCGGCUAACUCCGU